rnacentral:pre_miRNA from 1 species
AAAAUGUUAGUCUAUGGUCAACAGCUGUCAGUUUCUUAGUAGAUAAGUUUAUAAUUCUAUCACUGGGAAACUGAUACUGGUUGUCUAUGGUCUAUAACUACAUCAU